UGGGCAUAAUGAUGAUUGUUUAAUUUAUUCCGAUAAUUUCAUGAAUGGAUUAUCAAACCUCCUACUCAUUCUGA